rnacentral:rRNA from 1 species
GACGAACGCUGGCGGCGUGCUUAACACAUGCAAGUCGAACGGAAAGGCCCUGCUUUUGUGGGGUGCUCGAGUGGCGAACGGGUGAGUAACACGUGAGUAACAUGCCCUUGACUUUGGGAUAACUUCAGGAAACUGGGGCUAAUACCGGAUAGGAGCUCCUGCUGCAUGGUGGGGGUUGGAAAGUUUCGGCGGUUGGGGAUGGACUCGCGGCUUAUCAGCUUGUUGGUGGGGUAGUGGCUUACCAAGGCUUUGACGGGUAGCCGGCCUGAGAGGGUGACCGGCCACAUUGGGACUGAGAUACGGACCAGACUCCUACGGGAGGCAGCAGUGGGGAAUAUUGCACAAUGGGCGGAAGCCUGAUGCAGCAACGCCGCGUGCGGGAUGACGGCCUUCGGGUUGUAAACCGCUUUCGCCUGUGACGAAGCGUGAGUGACGGUAAUGGGUAAAGAAGCACCGGCUAACUACGUG